UUCUCUAUAUCCCUGCUUCUACACUUCUCUGUUCUUCCAUUCAUACGUUAAAAAUGUUCUGUUGUAUUAUGUAUUAUAAAUUUAACCAACAUCCCUCUUAAAAUAGUAUUUGUAACUCAUGGUGCUUAAAUUAUUCGUAUACAACGUUUCAUGUAUAUAAUUUGCACGGUAUACAUGUGUAUGUAUAUAUGCCUCGUAACACCGAUAUUAAGGACCUUACUUGGGGCAUGUGAUUAUUUCUUAGAAGUUUUAACCCACAAUCUAUCCCAGCGAUGGAUACUGAUUAGUAUUUAAUGGACGUAAAAAGGAUCUUGGCCCUCAGUUCAACUGUGUACAUUCGAAUUCGCAGCUUGUUAACGGCGUUUCUAAUCUCGGACAAUAUAUCAAAAAAAUUUGACUUGCCAUUUAUUUCUGGACCAAUGACUCUCAGCUGAAUAAAUCGUCAUAAAUUUCCUCUAAUGCUCCCAGAAAAAGAUGACCUAUUAUUUCGAGGUAUCUUCACCCUCGUCAACCUUAUCGGCUACAUCUUUGCCGGACUCUGCGUAGGUCUCGCGACAUAUAAAUGUUGCCAAAGUAUUCGAAAAAGUAGGGGAAUUAUGUGCAAGACAUCUUUUCCGGACGGGGGAGAAACUACACUAAAUCGACAAUCCCAAAACGAAAGAAACAUCGCAAAUCCGACAGGUAUUGGACAAAAUGUAAAUAGCGAAAGUGUCCAAAUUAGCUCGAACUUUGGAGGGCGAGAUGAUUAUCCUCCACCUGCAUACACACAGUGAAACCGUUAAGGUGCAUGUAAAAACUAUUUAAAAGGUGCUAGUGGUGCUGGAGAUUUAAGUAUAUGUAAACACGAAGAAUAUAUGCGACUUGAUUGUUUGUAUUAUUUAUUAGGUGGUAUUUAGGGUGUUAAGUAUUCCUUCGUACCCUAAACAGUAUUAUAUAUGCCGUAAAAUUGGAUAUGAUAGUUACGAGAUCUUGUAAGCGUCGUACAUUUAAAUGUCACACUCAGAAAAUCUCGUUACCAAAUAUUGGCUUACGAUUUUUAUGAAGAUUAACCCCUCGUUUUUCUCCGGAAACUAUGUAUUCCACGAUACUAAGGAUACGAAGAAAAUUGUGAAUACCCUCAUUGAUAUCGUAAAUCUGUAACUCUUCCCCGGUUAAAGAACUUGUUGAUAUAAAAAAUGUAUUCACAUUUAUUUACGAGUCACAUAAAUAUGUAAAAGUAUAAGUUUGAAAAAUACAAGUGACAAUCCAAAACUUA